rnacentral:lncRNA from 1 species
CUUUAGUAUAUUUGUUGAACCAGCCAUUACCAGUCAUUACACACUGAUAUUCUAAAACUCUUUACUGAAUCCACAUUUUGGUUAGUGUGUAAAAUCUGGUCUGUUACAACUGAACAUGCACGCCAUUACUUCAUUAAUCUGAGUUCUCCAAAAAGUUAGCAGGAGAUUUUUGGAUGCUAUUGAAUGGGAUAUAAUCUGCUAAAAGUAAGACAUCCCUUGUCUUAAGAAGAGUUAGGAUUUUUACAGCAGGAAUACAAAGGGUCACUGUUGAACUCCUGAAGCCCAUUUCA